GGCCGGAAUAGCUCAGUUGGUAGAGCAGAGGACUGAAAAUCCUCGUGUCACCA
rnacentral:tRNA from 1 species